rnacentral:rRNA from 1 species
GAUCCUGGCUCAGGAUGAACGCUGGCGGCGUGCUUAACACAUGCAAGUCGAGCGAAGCGGUUUCAAUGAAGUUUUCGGAUGGAUUUGAGAUUGACUUAGCGGCGGACGGGUGAGUAACGCGUGGGUAACCUGCCUUACACUGGGGGAUAACAGUUAGAAAUGACUGCUAAUACCGCAUAAGCGCACAGGGCCGCAUGGUCCGGUGUGAAAAACUCCGGUGGUGUAAGAUGGACCCGCGU